UGAAACAAAAUUUGACCUUGUCAUCAAUUCAAUGCUACUAUUGUUCCCAAUUAAUGAUCCUUAAAUUACCAAAAUAUGUGAUCCUCCCAACCUCCACCUUAUAAAGUCUGUCCCUCUCUAUGGCAAUGGAUUUAGAUGAUGCAAAUUCAUUAGUUGAUGUAGAACAAGUAGAGUAUUUGUAAUCUUACAAAUAUUAGGAUUAGGAAAUCCAACACUAAAUAGGAAUCAAAUCACACAAAAUCCUAAACAAAAUAAA
rnacentral:misc_RNA from 1 species